UCCGAUCACAAGGUGGGCCCCAUGAGGCGG
rnacentral:sRNA from 1 species